AUUGAACGCUGGCGGCAGGCCUAAUACAUGCAAGUCGAACGGUAACAGGGGGAUGGGCAACCAUCUCUGCUGACGAGUGGCGGACGGGUGAGUAACGCGUGGGCAACCUGCCGUAUGCAGGGGGACAACAGCUGGAAACGGCUGCUAAUACCGCAUAAGCGCACAGUACCGCAUGGUACAGUGUGAAAAGAUUUAUCGGCAUACGAUGGGCCCGCGUUGGAUUAGGUAGUUGGCGGAGUAACGGCCCACCAAGCCUACGAUCCAUAGCCGACCUGAGAGGGUGAUCGGCCACAUUGGGACUGAGACACGGCCCAAACUCC
rnacentral:rRNA from 1 species